rnacentral:rRNA from 1 species
UACGAAGGGGGCUAGCGUUGCUCGGAAUCACUGGGCGUAAAGCGCACGUAGGCGGAUUUCUAAGUCAGGGGUGAAAUCCUGGAGCUCAACUCCAGAACUGCCUUUGAUACUGGGAAUCUCGAGUCCGGGAGAGGUGAGUGGAACUGCGAGUGUAGAGGUGAAAUUCGUAGAUAUUCGCAAGAACACCAGUGGCGAAGGCGGGUAGCUGGGCCGACACUGACGCUGAGGCGCGAAAGCCAGGGGAGCGAACGGG